rnacentral:rRNA from 1 species
UUUAAAUUGAGAGUUUGAUCCUGGCUCAGGAUGAACGCUGGUGGCGUGCCUAAUACAUGCAAGUCGUACGCUAGCCGCUGAAUUGAUCCUUCGGGUGAAGUGAGGCAAUGACUAGAGUGGCGAACUGGUGAGUAACACGUAAGAAACCUGCCCUUUAGUGGGGGAUAACAUUUGGAAACAGAUGCUAAUACCGCGUAACAACAAAUCACACAUGUGAUCUGUUUGAAAGGUCCUUUUGGAUCGCUAGAGGAUGGUCUUGCGGCGUAUUAGCUUGUUGGUAGGGUAGAAGCCUACCAAGGCAAUGAUGCGUAGCCGAGUUGAGAGACUGGCCGGCCACAUUGGGACUGAGACACUGCCCAAACUCCUACGGGAGGCUGCAGUAGGGAAUUUUCCGCAAUGCACGAAAGUGUGACGGAGCGACGCCGCGUGUGUGAUGAAGGCUUUCGGGUCGUAAAGCACUGUUGUAAGGGAAGAAUAACUGAAUUCAGAGAAAGUUUUCAGCUUGACGGUACCUUACCAGAAAGGGAUGGCUAAAUACGUGCCAGCAGCCGCGGUAAUACGUAUGUCCCGAGCGUUAUCCGGAUUUAUUGGGCGUAAAGCGAGCGCAGACGGUUUAUUAAGUCUGAUGUGAAAUCCCGAGGCCCAACCUCGGAACUGCAUUGGAAACUGAUUUACUUG